rnacentral:rRNA from 1 species
ACAUGUGCCGGUCGGCUCCGGAGACGGGGCUUCCUCCUUGUGGGGCCGGUUCACAGGUGGUGCAUGGUUGUCGUCAGCUCGUGUCGUGAGAUGUUGGGUUAGGUCCCGCAACGAGCGCAACCCUUGUCCCGUGUUGCCAGCACGUUGUGGUGGGGACUCGCGGGAGACUGCCGGGGUCAACUCGGAGGAAGGUGGGGAUGACGUCAAAUCAUCAUGCCCCUUAUGUCUUGGGCUUCACGCAUGCUACAAUGGCCGGUACAGAGGGCUGCGAUACCGUGAGGUGGAGCGAAUCCCUUAAAGCCGGUCUCAGUUCGGAUCGGUGUCUGCAACUCGACACCGUGAAGUUGGAGUCGCUAGUAAUCGCAGAUCAGCAACGCUGCGGUGAAUACGUUCUCGGGCCUUGUACACACGUCGACGCGGCCG